GCAGGAAGAAAGCUGAGAGUUGGUGGAGCAGGAGGGGGCUUGUAUGGAAUUGUACUGUGAAAGAGCAGAAGGCUGAGAAGCAGCAAAAGCAGUGAGCAUUGCUGGAGCAGAAGAUUACAUUGAUACAUGGCAGCUAUCGCUGUUCUGAGAGCUUGGACCGGAUAGCGCCCUUUACGGAACCCUACUUGAUGGAUGGUGCGUCCAGGAGCUCCCUAUCUUGUACUGAGAGCUUAGAAAGUUGAGCAUCUCGCAGGAAAGAAAGACCUUCCUCCGGAAGGUCCUGGUGCUCCUCAUAAAAAAGCUUGAAAUAAGAUUCUAGUUCGGUUAUAAUGGCUUCAGUAUCCCGAGCUCAACCCUCCCUUGUUUUCAGUUUUUUAAUGAAAUGUGAUGUGGCGCUGAGCUUGGUCAAUCUGGCUAAGAGCCUACCUGGUUUGUUUCCCCAUCUAUAAAACCUGUUCCUCGCAUGAGAGAUUUUGUAAUGUGCGCUAUCGUGUAAUAAAGUGUUAAACAAAGCCUUUGUGUCUGUGUAUUUUAUUUUAUCUGCCUCGGAAUUUGUACGUUUAAAAGCCGUGUAGUGUUUCGUGAGCUCCUUUUGCAGAAGCAUGUACUUUUCCCUAAAGCAUUUCUUUUGUUUUAUUAUAUACGCCGUGACAUGGCCUCUUAGCACAGGCUUGGAAGCAGCCCAUAAUA